rnacentral:rRNA from 1 species
GAUGAACGCUAGCGGCAUGCCUAACACAUGCGAGUCGAGGGAGAAGCCUUUCGGGGCAGAAACCUGCGCACGGGUGCGUAACGCGUAUGCAACCUACCUUUCACAGGGUGAUAGCCCGAAGAAAUUUGGAUUAAUACCCCAUAAUAUUGUUGGAUGGCAUCAUCUGAUAAUUAAAACUGCGGUGGUGAAAGAUGGGCAUGCGUCCUAUUAGCUAGUUGGAGUGGUAACGGCACCCCAAGGCUACGAUAGGUAGGGGUCCUGAGAGGGAGAUCCCCCACACUGGUACUGAGACAGGGACCAGACUCCUACGGGAGGCAGCAGUGAGGAAUAUUGGUCAAUGGUCGGAAGACUGAACCAGCCAUGCCGCGUGCAGGAAGAAUGCCUUAUGGGUUGUAAACUGCUUUUAUAUGGGAAGAAUAAGGUGUACGUGUACAUUGAUGACGGUACCAUAUGAAUAAGCAUCGGCUAACUCCGUG